rnacentral:tRNA from 1 species
AUUUAAAUAGUUUAAUAUAAAAUAUUGAUUUGUGGUGUCGAUGAUAUGAAUUUAUUCAUUUUAAAUU